UACGGAGGGUGCGAGCGUUAAUCGGAAUUACUGGGCGUAAAGCGCGCGUAGGCGGUCAGGCAAGUCGGGUGUGAAAGCCCUGGGCUCAACCUGGGGAUUGCAUUCGAAACUAUCUGACUCGAGUAUGGGAGAGGGAAGCGGAAUUUCCGGUGUAGCGGUGAAAUGCGUAGAUAUCGGAAGGAACACCAGUGGCGAAGGCGGCUUUCUGGCCUGUUCUUGACGCUGAGGAGCGAAAGCUAGGGGAGCAAACGGG
rnacentral:rRNA from 1 species